rnacentral:rRNA from 1 species
GAUGAACGCUGGCGGCGUGCCUAAUACAUGCAAGUCGAGCGAACGGACGAGAAGCUUGCUUUUCUGAUGUUAGCGGCGGACGGGUGAGUAACACGUGGAUAACCUACCUAUAAGACUGGGAUAACUUCGGGAAACCGGAUCUAAUACCGGAUAAUAUUUUGAACCGCAUGGUUCAAAAGUGAAAGACGGUCUUGCUGUCACUUAUAGAUGGAUCCGCGCUGCAUUAGCGAGUUGGUAAGGUAACGGCUUACCAAGGCAACGAUGCAUAGCCGACCUGAGAGGGUGAUCGGCCACACUGGAACUGAGACACGGUCCAGACUCCUACGGGAGGCAGCAGUAGGGAAUCUUCCGCAAUGGGCGAAAGCCUGACGGAGCAACGCCGCGUGAGUGAUGAAGGUCUUCGGAUCGUAAAACUCUGUUAUUAGGGAAGAACAUAUGUGUAAGUAACUGUGCACAUCUUGACGGUACCUAAUCAGAAAGCCACGGCUAACUACGUG